GACGAACGCUGGCGGCGUGCUUAACACAUGCAAGUCGAACGAAGUGGCGAACGGGUGAGUAACGCGUAAUACACCUUCACUUCAGAGGGGGACAACAGUUGGAAACGACUGCUAAUACCGCAUACUGAAGGUGGGGAUUGCGUCUGAUUAGCUAGUUGGAGGGGUAACGGCCCACCAAGGCGAUGAUCAGUAGCCGGUCUGAGAGGAUGAACGGCCACAUUGGGACGGAGAAACGGCCCAGACUCCUACGGGAGGCAGCAGUGGGGAAUCUUCCGCAAUGGACGAAAGUCUGACGGAGCAACGCCGGGUGAGUGAUGACGGCCUUCGGGUUGUAAAGCUCUGUUAAUCGGGACGCGGUACCGGAAUAGAAAGCCACGGCUAACUACGUGCCAGCAGCCGCGGUAAUAC
rnacentral:rRNA from 1 species